rnacentral:lncRNA from 1 species
UAGAGAAGGGAAAAAUGAAGCAAAGAACAGGACUCAGGGACACAGUCAACAUGAUGGCCUGCAGAAAAAUUUAGCAACUGGAAAAUCCCUUUUGGCAAGAAAAUGAACUCUUUUAGAAAGGAACAGGAAGUCUAACAUCUUUUAACUUAAUUCCAUGUAAUUCUUUUUACCAAUUCAAAUUCAUAAAAUUUCUACACACACACAUAGACACACGCAAUGCAUUCCAAGAAAAGUAUUUCGGGAAAUCAAGGAAAAGGGACUAGGUUCCAUGGAUGGAUUAGCUUAGGGCCAAUAGAACCACUGCAGAAGAUGGCACAAAUGAAUUUGAGAGUCCUCAGGAACAUAUGACCAUAAGAACAUAAGCCUCAUUUAAUUCACAGAUAUAUUGGUAGAGGCUUCAGUUGACCUUUCCACAUUAUAAGAGUUACAGUGUUUACGCUAAUUUUAUUUAAAUCCCAAAGGAUGAAGUGAUCUUACCAAGGACCUGAGUUAUACCUAAACAAAGAAGAAGCAAAAACAUCUAAGAGAGAGAAGCCCAAUUAGGAGGGCUGAUGAAGAACAGGAUUCUGGGCAGGAAGAGGGUACUAUCAUGGAAGUCAGCAAAUAGGCACGUGGAAUAAGCCAGGCCAAUAUCAAAGCCAAGAAGUCCACAGAUAAGAAGCAAAUUCAAGUUCCAAGUACAGAGACAGUUGUAGUACAGUAAUUCAAAAUAUAGCAUCUGGACCAGGCAAGAUGGCUCAUGCCUGUAAUCCCAGCAUCUUGGGAGGCCAAGGUGGGAAGAUCACUUGAAACCAGAAGCUCAAGACCAGCCUGGGUAAAAUGAGGGCAAGCACUGAGGAUCUGGAUAAGAGAAGAAUUGGUAGGAAAACUCUUCGGUGUGCCCAAGCAUCUCCAAAAUGUUUUUUCAAAAGACAGGUGGACUUUAGCCCCUAAGAAGAAUCUGAUGCAGUCAAUCUGGGUACCAGCUUGGCCACAGUGGGGUAGAGCAAC